UACGGAUGGCAGCAGUGGGGAAUAUUGCACAAUGGGCGAAAGCCUGAUGCAGCUAUGCCGCGUGUAUGAAGAAGGCCUUAGGGUUGUAAAGUACUUUCAUCGGGGAGGAAAACAAAACUAAUAAUUUUAUUUCUUGACGUUACCCGAAAAAGAAGCACCGGCUAACUCCGUGCCAGCAGCCGCGGUAAUACGGAGGGUGCUAGCGUUAAUCAGAAUUACUGGGCGUAAAGAGCACGUAGGUGGUUUUUUUAAGUCAGAUGUGAAAUCCCUGGGCUUAACCUGGAACUGCAUUUUGAAACUGAAAUACUAGAGUAUCGUAGGGGGAGGUAGAAUUCUAGGUGUAGCGGUGAAAUGCGUAGAUAUCUGGAGGAAUACCUGUGGCGAAAGCGGCCUCCUAAACGAAUACUGACACUGAGGUGCGAAAGCGUGGGGAGCAAACAGGGAUUAGAUACC
rnacentral:rRNA from 1 species